CCAAUAGCGUAUAUUAAAGUUGUUGCAGUUAAAAAGCUCGUAGUUGAAUUUUAGGCCUGGCCGGGCGGUCCGUCUUUGGCGAGUACUGUCUUGUUGUCGGGUCUUCCUUCUGGUGAACCAGUAUGUCCUUUAUUGGGUGUGUUGGGGAGCCAGGACCAUUACCCUGAAAAAAUUAGAGUGUUUAAAGCGGGCUAUUGCUUGAAUAGAUUAGCAUGGAAUAAUAGAAUAGGACGUUGUGGUUCUAUUUUGUUGGUUUCUAGGACCACCGUAAUGAUUAAUAGGGAUAGUUGGGGGCAUUAGUAUUCAAUUGUCAGAGGUGAAAUUCUUGGAUUUAUUGAAGACUAACUAUUGCGAAAGCAUUUGCCAAGGAUGUUUUCAUUAAUCAAGAACGAAAGUUAGGGGAUCGAAGACGAUCAGAUACCGUCGUAGUCUUAACCAUAAACUAUGCCGACUAGGAAUCGGGCGACGUUAUUUUAAUGACUCGCUCGGCGCCUUAUG
rnacentral:misc_RNA from 1 species